UCCACGGGAGGCAGCAGUGGGGAAUAUUGGACAAUGGGCGAAAGCCUGAUCCAGCCAUGCCGCGUGAGUGAUGAAGGCCCUAGGGUUGUAAAGCUCUUUCGCCAGGGACGAUAAUGACGGUACCCGGAUAAGAAGCCCCGGCUAACUUCGUGCCAGCAGCCGCGGUAAU
rnacentral:rRNA from 1 species